ACAAUGAUAGAAAAUUAUCAUCUUAGCAACCACACACCCCAAUAACUAAUGAGUUAUGAUACAUAUGGAAUGCAAGAAAACACCCUCCAAUCAAGAUGAUUCCAAAACCCAAGGAUCUCCUCAAGUGAAGUUAGGAAAAACUAGUUCCAAGUAGGAAACACUCCCUCACGUGUUUCUCUCAAUUAAAAUGUCACCACUCGUGUUUCACUCAAAGUUUUGGCUUUU
rnacentral:lncRNA from 1 species